CAGUCGUACCUAUGGGUAAUCAGCCUUUUGGGUGUGAUUUUGUGGAGCGUGAGGAGUUUAACCGCCUUCAUGUUUUGCAUAUUCGUGCACAUUUGGUGUACUUGUCCGUGUGGUGGGUUAACAUCAAUUUCGGUCGUCAAUAAAAUGAUUGGAGGAAUGUAGUCUUUGAUCUCGUAUCGAAGUUGUUAUAGACUC
rnacentral:rRNA from 1 species